UUAAAUUGAAGAGUUUGAUCAUGGCUCAGAUUGAACGCUGGCGGCAGGCCUAACACAUGCAAGUCGAACGGUAACAGGAAGAA
rnacentral:rRNA from 3 species